CGCGGUUCCCUGAUUAACAUCAACUACAGGAUUACCAGUACAAUCAUACUUGAUAUCUUAUUCAGGUGUCAUUUGCAAAGAAGUAGACUUUUUCAGAAAGGUUAGCGUACACCAUCAUGACUUCAGCAAGGUUCGUCUUAUGUAACGCUAAAGGCAAAGGUCCUAUCGAUUAAAAACAAUAUUGGAGAAACCGACAAAUUAACCAGCGCAC
rnacentral:lncRNA from 1 species